rnacentral:rRNA from 1 species
CCGAAUGGGGAAACCCAGUGUGAUUCGUCACACUAUCAUUAACUGAAUCCAUAGGUUAAUGAGGCGAACCGGGGGAACUGAAACAUCUAAGUACCCCGAGGAAAAGAAAUCAACCGAGAUUCCCCCAGUAGCGGCGAGCGAACGGGGAGGAGCCCAGAGCCUGAAUCAGCAUGUGUGUUAGUGGAAGCGUCUGGAAAGGCGCGCGAUACAGGGUGACAGCCCCGUACACAAAAGCGCAUGUGCUGUGAGCUCGAUGAGUAGGGCGGGACACGUGGUAUCCUGUCUGAAUAUGGGGGGACCAUCCUCCAAGGCUAAAUACUCCUGACUGACCGAUAGUGAACCAGUACCGUGAGGGAAAGGCGAAAAGAACCCCGGCGAGGGGAGUGAAAAAGAACCUGAAACCGUGUACGUACAAGCAGUGGGAGCACCCUUCGGGGUGUGACUGCGUACCUUUUGUAUAAUGGGUCAGCGACUUAUAUUCUGUAGCAAGGUUAACCGUAUAGGGGAGCCGGAGGGAAACCGAGUCUUAACCGGGCGUUAAGUUGCAGGGUAUAGACCCGAAACCCGGUGAUCUAGCCAUGGGCAGGUUGAAGGUUGGGUAACACUAACUGGAGGACCGAACCGACUAAUGUUGAAAAAUUAGCGGAUGACCUGUGGCUGGGGGUGAAAGGCCAAUCAAACCGGGAGAUAGCUGGUUCUCCCCGAAAGCUAUUUAGGUAGCGCCUCGUGAAUUCAUCUCCGGGGGUAGAGCACUGUUUCGGCUAGGGGGCCAUCCCGGCUUACCAACCCGAUGCAAACUGCGAAUACCGGAGAAUGUUAUCACGGGAGACACACGGCGGGUGCUAACGUCCGUCGUGAAGAGGGAAACAACCCAGACCGCCAGCUAAGGUCCCAAAGUCAUGGUUAAGUGGGAAACGAUGUGGGAAGGCCCAGACAGCCAGGAUGUUGGCUUAGAAGCAGCCAUCAUUUAAAGAAAGCGUAAUAGCUCACUGGUCGAGUCGGCCUGCGCGGAAGAUGUAACGGGGCUAAACCAUGCACCGAAGCUGCGGCAGCGAACGUAUCACCCAAGACAACUUUACGGAGUUGACGAUUGACGGAGCGAAGCGACGUCAAAGCGUUCAUUAAAGUCGAGUUGGCUUAGGGAUACGUUCGUUGGGUAGGGGAGCGUUCUGUAAGCCUGUGAAGGUGUGUCGUGAGGCAUGCUGGAGGUAUCAGAAGUGCGAAUGCUGACAUAAGUAACGAUAAAGCGGGUGAAAAGCCCGCUCGCCGGAAGACCAAGGGUUCCUGUCCAACGUUAAUCGGGGCAGGGUGAGUCGACCCCUAAGGCGAGGCCGAAAGGCGUAGUCGAUGGGAAACGGGUUAAUAUUCCCGUACUUGGUGUUACUGCGAAGGGGGGACGGAGAAGGCUAUGUUGGCCGGGCGACGGUUGUCCCGGUUUAAGCGUGUAGGUGUGUGUUCCAGGUAAAUCCGGUUCACUUUAACACUGAGGCGUGACGACGAGGCACUACGGUGCUGAAGCAACAAAUGCCCUGCUUCCAGGAAAAGCCUCUAAGCAUCAGGUAACACGAAAUCGUACCCCAAACCGACACAGGUGGUCAGGUAGAGAAUACCAAGGCGCUUGAGAGAACUCGGGUGAAGGAACUAGGCAAAAUGGUGCCGUAACUUCGGGAGAAGGCACGCUGACACGUAGGUGAAGUGAUUUACUCAUGGAGCUGAAGUCAGUCGAAGAUACCAGCUGGCUGCAACUGUUUAUUAAAAACACAGCACUGUGCAAACACGAAAGUGGACGUAUACGGUGUGACGCCUGCCCGGUGCCGGAAGGUUAAUUGAUGGGGUCAGCGCAAGCGAAGCUCCUGAUCGAAGCCCCGGUAAACGGCGGCCGUAACUAUAACGGUCCUAAGGUAGCGAAAUUCCUUGUCGGGUAAGUUCCGACCUGCACGAAUGGCGUAAUGAUGGCCAGGCUGUCUCCACCCGAGACUCAGUGAAAUUGAACUCGCUGUGAAGAUGCAGUGUACCCGCGGCAAGACGGAAAGACCCCGUGAACCUUUACUAUAGCUUGACACUGAACAUUGAGCCUUGAUGUGUAGGAUAGGUGGGAGGCUUUGAAGUGUGGACGCCAGUCUGCAUGGAGCCGACCUUGAAAUACCACCCUUUAAUGUUUGAUGUUCUAACGUGGACCCGUAAUCCGGGUUGCGGACAGUGUCUGGUGGGUAGUUUGACUGGGGCGGUCUCCUCCUAAAGAGUAACGGAGGAGCACGAAGGUUGGCUAAUCCUGGUCGGACAUCAGGAGGUUAGUGCAAUGGCAUAAGCCAGCUUGACUGCGAGCGUGACGGCGCGAGCAGGUGCGAAAGCAGGUCAUAGUGAUCCGGUGGUUCUGAAUGGAAGGGCCAUCGCUCAACGGAUAAAAGGUACUCCGGGGAUAACAGGCUGAUACCGCCCAAGAGUUCAUAUCGACGGCGGUGUUUGGCACCUCGAUGUCGGCUCAUCACAUCCUGGGGCUGAAGUAGGUCCCAAGGGUAUGGCUGUUCGCCAUUUAAAGUGGUACGCGAGCUGGGUUUAGAACGUCGUGAGACAGUUCGGUCCCUAUCUGCCGUGGGCGCUGGAGAACUGAGGGGGGCUGCUCCUAGUACGAGAGGACCGGAGUGGACGCAUCACUGGUGUUCGGGUUGUCAUGCCAAUGGCACUGCCCGGUAGCUAAAUGCGGAAGAGAUAAGUGCUGAAAGCAUCUAAGCACGAAACUUGCCCCGAGAUGAGUUCUCCCUGAGACUUAGAGUCUCCUGAAGGAACGUUGAAGACGACGACGUUGAUAGGCCGG